UUCAAGUCUAACAACCUCAGCU
rnacentral:miRNA from 1 species